ACGCUGGCGGCAGGCUUAACACAUGCAAGUCGAACGGUAACAGGAAUUAGCUUGCUAAUUUGCUGACGAGUGGCGGACGGGUGAGUAAUGCUUGGGAAUCUGGCUUAUGGAGGGGGAUAACUACGGGAAACUGUAGCUAAUACCGCGUAAAAUCUUCGGAUUAAAGGGUGGGACUUUCGAGCCACCUGCCAUAAGAUGAGCCCAAGUGGGAUUAGGUAGUUGGUUAGGUAAAGGCUGACCAAGCCGACGAUCUCUAGCUGGUCUGAGAGGAUGACCAGCCACUGGAACUGAGACACGGUCCAGACUCCUACGGGAGGCAGCAGUGGGGAAUAUUGCACAAUGGGGGGAACCCUGAUGCAGCCAUGCCGCGUGAAUGAAGAAGGCCUUCGGGUUGUAAAGUUCUUUCGGUGACGAGGAAGGUUGAUAGGUUAAUAGCCUAUCAAAUUGACGUUAAUCACAGAAGAAGCACCGGCUAACUCCGUGCCAGCAGCCGCGGUAAUACGGGGGGUGCGAGCGUUAAUCGGAAUAACCGGGCGUAAAGGGCACGCAGGCGGUGACUUAAGUGAGAUGUGAAAGCCCCAAGCUUAACUUGGGAAUUGCAUUUCAUACUGGGUCGCUAGAGUACUUUAGGGAGGGGUAGAAUUCCACGUGUAGCGGUGAAAUGCGUAGAGAUGUGGAGGAAUACCGAAGGCGAAGGCAGCCCCUUGGGAAUGUACUGACGCUCAUGUGCGAAAGCGUGGGGAGCAAACAGGAUUAGAUACCCUGGUAGUCCACGCUGUAAACGAUGUCGAUUUGGGGAUUGGGCUUUGAGCUUGGUGCCCGUAGCUAACGUGAUAAAUCGACCGCCUGGGGAGUACGGCCGCAAGGUUAAAACUCAAAUGAAUUGACGGGGGCCCGCACAAGC
rnacentral:rRNA from 1 species